UGGGGAAUAUUGGACAAUGGGGGCAACCCUGAUCCAGCGAUGCCGCGUGGGUGAAGAAGGCCUUCGGGUUGUAAAGCCCUUUAGGUUGGGACGAAGUGCAGCGGUUUAAGAGAUAGUUGCAUUGACGGUACUGACAGAAUAAGCACCGGCAAACUCUGUGCCAGCAGCCGCGGUAAUACAGAGGGUGCGAGCGUUAAUCGGAGUUACUGGGCGUAAAGGGCGCGUAGGCGGUUAGGUGAGUGUGAUGUGAAAGCCCUGGGCUUAACCUAGGAAGUGCAUCGCAAACGACCUAACUGGAGUAUAAGAGAGGGUGGUGGAAUUUCCGGUGUAGCGGUGAAAUGCGUAGAGAUCGGAAGGAACGUCAAUGGCGAAGGCAGCCACCUGGCUUAAUACUGACGCUGAGGCGCGAAAGCGUGGGGAUCGAACA
rnacentral:rRNA from 1 species